GGGAUGUAGCUCAGCUGGUAGAGCACUUGGUUCGCAAUCAAGGGGUCGCGGGUUCGAAUCCCGUCUUCUCC
rnacentral:tRNA from 1 species